CAGAGGGUGCGAGCGUUAAUCGGAAUUACUGGGCGUAAAGGGCGCGUAGGCGGUUAGUUAAGUUAGAUGUGAAAUCCCUGGGCUUAACCUAGGAACUGCAUCUGAUACUGGCUAGCUAGAGUGUAGUAGAGGGUAGUGGAAUUUCCGGUGUAGCGGUGAAAUGCGUAGAUAUCGGAAGGAACACCAGUGGCGAAGGCGGCUACCUGGACUAACACUGACGCUGAGGCGCGAAAGCGUGGGGAUCAAACAGGAUUAGAUACCCUGGUAGUCCACGCUGUAAACGAUGAGAACUAGAUGUUGGUAGGCUUGACCUAUUAGUAUCGAAGCUAACGCGAUAAGUUCUCCGCCUGGGGAGUACGACCGCAAGGUUA
rnacentral:rRNA from 1 species